rnacentral:rRNA from 1 species
UGGGGAAUCAUGGUCAAUGGGCGAAAGCCUGAACCUGCGACGCCGCGUGAGUGAUGAAGGUCGUAAGAUCGUAAAACUCUUUUCAGGGAUCUUAAAGCCUGUCUGUCAACAACAGGCAGGUCUGACUCUCCCUGGAAGAAGCCCCAGCCAACUACGUGCCAGCAGCUGCGGUAAUACGUAGGGGGCGAGCGUUAUGCGGAAUUACUGGGUGUAAAGGGUAUGUAGGCGGCCCUUCAAGUCGCGUGUCAAAGUCCAGGGCGCAACGCUG